GACUCUCAGCAUCUAACAGCCACGAAAUGAAAGGAACAGCUGAUACUCUUGUUAUGAUUUUACGGACACAUGGAUGGAAACAACUAUUUUCGGGGCUUAGCCUCAACUAUCUGAAGGUUGUACCAUCUGUGGCAAUUGGGUUUAGUGUUUACGAUAUGAUGAAAGCAUACCUGAGAGUACCAUCACGAGAUGAUGCUGUUGUAGAAGUCGUCACUAGUAACAGAGAUAGUCAACCAUCCACUCUGCACUCUUAGCCAAUCUUCUUCAGGAUCAGAGAUUGUCAAGUUCAAUUUCAGAAAACUGGCCAUCUUGAGAGCUGCUAAAGUGUGUAAAUUUCCAUUCUUUAACAUAGGCAUAAUUCUUCUUUACAAUAAGUUGCUUACUGCAAGCAAUCAGAUAGUAUUGCCUUAAUCCCAAAUUAGUUGGGAUUGGCUACAAAUCCUCUUAUUAAUUCAUCUGUAUACGAGGUUACACUGCAAAAAUGUAUAUUAACAACAACUUGCUGUAAACUAAUGCCUCAUUCUGGCAUCUUAUACAUUGAUUGACAAGUUUAAUGACCUGAAGAGUAGCGCAUAUUUGUG